rnacentral:rRNA from 1 species
CACCGCGGUUAUACGAGUGACCCACAUUAAUACCACUCGGCGUAAAGAGUGGUUUAAGAAAAUCUUAAACAACUAAAGUUAAGACCUCAUCAAGCUGUUAUACGCACCCAUGAUUGAAAUUAUCAACAACGAAAGUGACUUUAUAAUUCAAGAAAUCUUGACGCCACGACAGUUGAGCCC